rnacentral:rRNA from 1 species
AUUGAACGCUGGCGGCAGGCCUAACACAUGCCAGUCGAACGGUAACAGGAAGAAGCUUGCUUCUUUGCUGACGAGUGGCGGACGGGUGAGUAAUGUCUGGGCAACUGCCUGAUGGAGGGGGAUAACUACUGGAAACGGUAGCUCAUACCGCAUAACGUCGCAAGACCAAAGAGGGGGACCUUCGGGCCUCUUGCCCUCGGAUGUGCCCAGAUGGGAUUAGCUAGUAGGUGGGGUAACGGCUCCCCUAGGCGACGAUCCCUAGCUGGUCUGAGAGGAUGACCAGCCACACUGGAACUGAGACACGGUCCAGACUCCUACGGGAGGCAGCAGUGGGGAAUAUUGCACAAUGGGCGCAAGCCUGAUGCAGCCAUGCCGCGUGUAUGAAGAAGGCCUUCGGGUUGUAAAGUACUUUCAGCGGGGAGGAAGGGAGUAAAGUUAAUACCUUUGCUCAUUGACGUUACCCGCAGAAGAAGCACCGGCUAACUCCGUG